AUUUCUGACGAGUCCCAAAUAAGACGAAAUACAUGUCUCGAAU
rfam:Schistosoma mattheei strain Denwood, Zambia genome assembly, scaffold: SMTD_scaffold0000100